UCACUGGAUAGAAAAUCAACACUAAAUAUGUUACAUAAAAAUAGAACAUCACAACGAAUUGAUGAAUCAGAGCGCGAUGUGAUCACAAACUCGAUGCCGCAAUUGCCGAAUUCAGG